GACUCGGUGGCGAAACGGCAUCGUAUCUGCACAAUAUGUGGUAUAGUGUUGAUACACGAUGCGUCUUAGCAGAAGGAUCCCAGUUCGAAUCUGGGCCGAGUCG